rnacentral:tRNA from 1 species
CUCCUGAUGGCACAGUUGGUAGCGCGUUGGACUGUAAUUGAAAUUGCUAGAGAUCCACAGGUCGUGUGUUCGAAUCACACUCAGGAGA